GAUUGUGGGGGUGGAUAGGCAUUUUGUGGAGCUGGGUACUUAGAAAGUGAAGUAUGUCUUUGGGAGUCCCAUGGAGAGAAGUAAUGGCCUGGAGAAUUACAAGGAUAUCCACGGGGUCGAUAUAGAGACUGAGGGCCUUUAUCAGGGACAACCACUGACCUUGUCGUUGGAGAGGUUCUACAACAUCUUUCCUUUUCAUGGGAAGAAUAUCCCGAACGAC
rnacentral:lncRNA from 1 species